GUGCCAGCAGCCGCGGUAAUACGGAGGGUGCGAGCGUUGUUCGGAAUCACUGGGCGUAAAGCGCGUGUAGGCGGCUUCAUAAGUCUGGUGUGAAAUCCCGGGGCUCAACCCCGGAACUGCGCUGGAAACUGCGAGGCUAGAGUACCGGAGAGGAGAGUGGAAUUCCUGGUGUAGCGGUGAAAUGCGUAGAUAUCAGGAGGAACACCGGUGGCGAAGGCGGCUCUCUGGACGGCUACUGACGCUGAGACGCGAAAGCGUGGGGAGCAAACAGGAUUAGAAACCCCCGUAGUCC
rnacentral:rRNA from 1 species